rnacentral:rRNA from 1 species
GAUGAACGCUGGCGGCGUGCCUAAUACAUGCAAGUCGAGCGAACGGACGAGAAGCUUGCUUUUCUGAUGUUAGCGGCGGACGGGUGAGUAACACGUGGAUAACCUACCUAUAAGACUGGGAUAACUUCGGGAAAUCGGAGCUAAUAACGGAUAAUAUUUUGAACCGCAUGGUUCAAAAGUGAAAGACGGUCUUGCUGUCACUUAUAGAUGGAUCCGCGCUGCAUUAGCUAGUUGGUAAGGUAACGGCUUACCAAGGCAACGAUGCAUAGCCGACCUGAGAGGGUCAUCCGCCACCCGGGAACUGAGACACGGUCCAGACGCCGACGAGAGGCAGCAGUACGGAAUCCUACGCAAGGGGCGAAAGCCUGACAGAGCAACACCGCCUGAGUGAUGAAGGUCUUCGGAUCGUAAAGCUCUGAUAUUAUGGAAGAACAUAAGUUUAAGUAACUGUGCACAUCAUGACGGUACCUAAUCAGAAAGCCCCGGCUAACUACGUG